AUUGAACGCUGGCGGCAUGCCUUACACAUGCAAGUCGAACGGUAGAGUAGCAAUACUUGAGAGUGGCGAACGGGUGAGUAAUAUAUCGGAACGUGCCCAGUCGUGGGGGAUAACGUAGAGAAAUUUACGCUAAUACCGCAUACGAUCUAAGGAUGAAAGCGGGGGACUCGCAAGGGCCUCGCGCGAUUGGAGCGGCUGAUAUCAGAUUAGGUUGUUGGUGAGGUAAAAGCUCACCAAGCCGACGAUCUGUAGCUGGUUUGAGAGAACGACCAGCCACACUGGGACUGAGACACGGCCCAGACUCCUACGGGAGGCAGCAGUGGGGAAUUUUGGACAAUGGGCGAAAGCCUGAUCCAGCAAUGCCGCGUGCAGGAAGAAGGCCCUC
rnacentral:rRNA from 1 species